UUCCUUGUCGGGUAAGUUCCGACGCGCAUGAAUGGCGUAACGACUGGAGCACUGUCUCCACAACCAACUCGGUGAAAUAGUAGUGGCGGUGAAGAUGCCGCCUACCCGCGACAAGACGGAAAGACCCCAUGAACCUUUACUAUAGGCUUUUAUUGCACAUGAGUUUGUAUUGCGUAGGAUAGGUGGGAGGCUUUGAAACCAGACUUUCGGGUUUGGUGGAGCCGUCCUUGAAAUACCACCCUGUUUGUCGUGUUGACCUAACUUCGACCCAUGAAUCUGGGCGAAGGACCAUGUUAGCUGGGCAGUUUGACUGGGGCGGUCUCCUCCUAAAGAGUAACG
rnacentral:rRNA from 1 species